rnacentral:lncRNA from 1 species
CCCUUGAAUCAAAAGGACUCAUCACCUGCUGACUAGAUACCACGAACUGACUGGAUCUAAAGGUGCAUACUAUACCUUGUACCUAUAUUCCAAGAAAAUAUAGCCUACAUACGAAUAUAUGGGUCAGUACCAUGGAAAUGUACCGAGCAUAUGAGGGGGCAAUGUAUAUAUAAAAUAAUAUCUUAAUAUUGUCACAGUUUAUAAAAUUAUGCAUGCUGAUAUAAAUAACUCACUUAGCUCGAAUUAAAUCAUAUAAAUCAUGGAUGAAUAAUACAUGUAAAAUAAAUCACGUGAGUCAUUAUAAUAAGUUCCAAAUUCACUUUUUGCUCGAUUUCAACUUGUAAAGUAAUCAAGUCUUAAAACAACUCUCUUUAGAACAUAACAUUUCAAUCUUUCGGAAACAAGGAACUUUCUCACAAAUCAUAGUUUUUAAACCAUACACACUUAUCUUAGAUAGAGCAGAGACACACAUACAUACACCAUGGGAGUUUCUUAUAACCGACAUAAACCAUGUGAGCUUAUCAUGGAGUCCAACGUUUUGUCCUCCUAAGGAAGAAACCCCACGUUGGCAAAGAGCGUCAUACUGUUGCCAGAGAGUAUAACAUCAACUUAGUGAUCACAAACUCAGCCUUAGGCCCACAAAUCUCAAUCCUACGACGGCACGUAGUUCUGGGAAAGUAGGGUACGCUCACCCACACCUCCCGCUCGGUGCUAAAUACUACUCCCGUACUCAAGCUCAGUCUUAUUUAGGAGAUCCACCUCAAAAUAAUCUCUAGGGCCUAUAAUGAAGGCCAAAUCAUAUUUCUCAUAAUUGAAUCAUAAUAAAUUGUGGAUUCCUAUUUUCAACUCAAAAAUCAUGAUAUAAAUUUUAAUUCAAAUCUCGGUAAAUAAUUUGAUAAAGGAAAACUCCAAAUCGUGAUAUCAUAAAAACCUAAUUUCAACCUUGAUAUAAAUAUAACGAUUCCAUCUUCCAAAAUAUCAUCUCAAAUUCCAUACUUGUUCAAUAUCAAAACAACAAUCUUUGCUUUUGAAAAAUACUUAUAAAAUCAUGUCCACGACUCGAGAUCAAAAUCUCCUUAUAAUUUCAUCACAUAUAUUUAAAACCCAAAAUAUAAAGAUUUAAUACAUCAAAAUCAUAUCUAAAUUUCAUACUCAACAAUCAUCACCAAAAUCUUCACUUAUCUCAAUUAAAAUAUUGGAAAUAAAUUCAUGACAUAAAUAUCAUAAUUUCAACAACUCAAAAUUCAUAUCACAAAUUCUGUAAAUUCAUUCUCAAUACUCAUUUCAAAUAAAUUCAACAACAUUAAUUCUUAAUAGAAAAAUAUAAAUUAAAAUAUGUAUAUCUCAACUCAAAUCAUAUCAAGAUAAAAUAUAAUGCUUUCAAAUACUCAAUUCAUGGAUAAUUACAUAAACUCAAAAUAAAAUAAAUUGGUAUAAACUUCAACAUAAAAAUUUACAUAAUCUUUAUAAAAAUCAAGUUUUAGGCACAAGACCGGAAGGAUUAUUCUUGUUCAAACCCCACAUACCUCAAAUUUGUGACUUUGGAUGAACUUGAAAUUCCGGAACUCUACUCAUAAAAUAAUAGGUGCUUCUUGAAGAUCUCAACUUGGGAAUUAUGAUUCCUAAAU